UGAGGAAUAUUGGGCAAUGCCCGCAAGGGUGACCCAGCAACGCCGCGUGGAGGAUGAAUGCCGUAAGGUUGUAAACUCCUGUUAGAGGGGACGAAUGAUUCCGAUUGUAUCGGAAGUUGACUGUACCCUCAGAGAAAGCCCCGGCUAACUACGUGCCAGCAGCCGCGGUAAUACGUAGGGGGCAAGCGUUGUCCGGAUUUACUGGGUGUAAAGGGCGCGCAGGUGGGCUUGAUAGUUAGAGGUGAAAUCCUGUGGCUUAACUGCAGAACUGCCUUUAAUACUUCAAGUCUUGAGUGCGGAAGAGAGAGACGGAAUUCCAGGUGUAGUAGUGAAAUACGUAGAUAUCUGGAAGAACACCAGUUGCGAAGGCGGUCUCUUGGUCCGUAACUGACACUUAGGCGCGAAAGCGUGGGGAGCAAACAGG
rnacentral:rRNA from 1 species